AGUGAACGCUGGCGGUAGGCCUAACACAUGCAAGUCGAACGGCAGCACAGAGGAGCUUGCUCCUUGGGUGGCGAGUGGCGGACGGGUGAGGAAUACAUCGGAAUCUACUCUGUCGUGGGGGAUAACGUAGGGAAACUUACGCUAGUACCGCAUACGACCUACGGGUGAAAGCAGGGGACCUUCGGGCCUUGCGCGAUUGAAUGAGCCGAUGUCGGAUUAGCUAGUUGGCGGGGUAAAGGCCCACCAAGGCGACGAUCCGUAGCUGGUCUGAGAGGAUGAUCUGCCACACUGGAACUGAGACACGGUCCAGACUCCUACGGGAGGCAGCAGUGGGGAAUAUUGGACAAUGGGCGCAAGCCUGAUCCAGCCAUACCGCGUGGGUGAAGAAGGCCUUCGGGUUGUAAAGCCCUUUUGUUGGGAAAGAAAUCCAGCUGGCUAAUACCCGGUUGGGAUGACGGUACCCAAAGAAUAAGCACCGGCUAACUUCGUGCCAGCAGCCGCCGUAA
rnacentral:rRNA from 1 species